GUAACCCUACGGGAGGCAGCAGUAGGGAGUCUUCCACAAUGGACGAAAGUCUGAUGGAGCAACGCCGCGUGAGUGAAGAAGGGGUUCGGCUCGUAAAGCUCUGUUGGGAGUGAAGAAAGAUAGAGGUAGUAACUGGCCUUUAUUUGACGGUAAUUACUUAGAAAGUCACGGGUAACUACGUGCCAGCAGCCGCGGUAAUACGUAGGUGGCAAGGGGUGUCCGGAGUUAUUGGGCGUAAAGGGAG
rnacentral:rRNA from 1 species